AUGAGAGCACUUUUAUGGGUCACAGAGAGUGAACUUCCCUACCGACAUCUGUUUGAUUUUAUCUACUUGAACUUUAUCCUCAGCCGGAGAUUUAUCGGCCUACACUGGACCGGGCCUGUUAAAGUCGCCGUAACAGACAGGUCUCUUCGAGCGAAUGUAAGUUCAUUCUCCAGGCAUAAACGCCCAGCAUGUUUACAUGGGACAUUUCCUGUGCUAAUGAAAUCCAGAGCAGAGCAGUCAAAACUUAACUGACCUCUCAGCAUGAGGAAUCAUCUCCAAAAACACCCUAAACAUCACCAGUGAGUAUCUAAAAACACCCACAUUUCGUUUUAUUAUUUUCAGCCUGUAGGUAACAAUAAGCAAUAUAAAAUGUGCAGUAAACGUAAUGCUGCCAAACUGGCUGUGGCCAGUGAAACUGAAAGGGGGGAAAAGAUGAAGAAAACAAAUUGGACAGACUUCCACAAUUUGUAAAAGAAGGAAAGACAAAAGCCAUAAAAAUGUUGUAAAUGCAUGAGAAAUGCAUCAAAAGUACAUCAGCCCAAAAAAAAAAAAAGAAAGAAAAAAAAAGACAGAAAAUUACAUAGACUACAGCAAAUGAAAAACAGAAAGUACCACAUGUCACUCAUUUACCCAAACAUGUCAUUGCUGCAAAACUAGUUAAAGGCUCUGUUAAUGUUCUAAAAGCAUUAGCAAUGAAAGCUUCAAAGUGUCUAUCAAUGCAGCGCAUAUAAGCAAGCUGAAUUUUACAGUCUCUGGCGUUGGCAAAUAGUUUCCGAAAUACAUAUAUGUAAGCAUUUCUCUCUUUUAUUAUUCAAAGAGUUUUAUAGAGCUGGAGUAAAUUACAGUGGCCUUGAAAAAGAAACCAAAAAUCAUCUCCUACAUCAGUUUGACUCUGCGUGUGCCAAAACUUGGCCUUUUAACUCCACAAGCCUCUCUCUUUCUCGAGCCCCCUUCUCUCCCGUCAGUGUACACAGCAUGUGAACAACAGAUCUGACAUAAAUGAAAGAGCAGAGAGGCAUAAAACAACACGGCGCUUUCUGCUUUCAGAGACUUAAUACUGCACUUGGC
ensembl:lncRNA